rnacentral:lncRNA from 1 species
GUCGCUCGAGGCUCGCUAAGACCUCGCUCGAGCGACCAUGUUAUCUAGCCAAACCUAAUUUUAAACGCUCGCGAAUAUUUGACGCUCCACAUUACCAUGUGUCGACCUCUAUAAAUACCAAACGUCCAAUUCGUGUUCAUUAACCCGAAUAUACACAUUGAAAUCACUUUGACUAUUUUCUUUCAAAUCCUUGGCAACCUAAAAUCAAAAUCCUUCUUCUCCAAGGAUCACAAGCCAAAAACCUUUCAUAGUGUUCAUCCAAAUCCAUGGCUUGUUGAGUAAAAACAUCGAAUACACAAACACCAAAACACCUGUUUCUCAACUCCAAUUAAACUUCCAGAAGAUCAUCAGCUUGAAGAUCCGGGAAGGACUUGCUUGAAGAGCUGGAGUGCGUGGCGAUUCACGGGAGGUAGAAAUUGUACAAGGCUGGGAUUUAGCACGGAGCUGCAAAUCCAUGAGGGUCUUGAUUUCAUACAGCAAGGAGGUCAGAAAAAUUGAGAGGGUCAAUUGAGUCUGGCGUGCUGUAAGUUAGUUUCUACAUAGUGGAUCUCUACUGGCUUGUGCCUGGAGUUUUCCCAUAUUGGGUUUCUCCGUCAACAUGUUUGGUGUGUUUUUACCGCUUUAAUUUAUUUACUUGUCAACGGUAAUUCAACAUAAGUAGAUAAAGCACGUGAAUUAAUCUAGACUAAUUAUAAUUUGUGUGACUUGUUGCAUGAAUUGUUGAAAAAGUUUUUAAUUCCGCAAGAACACCUAUUCACCCCCCCUCUAGGUGUUAGUUGGGUCAAACGAUAAGUUUUUCAAGUGGUAUCUGAGCCUAAUCUCGAAUCCUGACCCAUAGUUGUCUAGAUAAGUCAAUCGCUGUCUAUACCUCCGUUUUUCGACGGAAGUAAUUAUGCAUAUUGGAAGGUUAGGAUGCGUGCAUUCCUUAAGUCCUUAGAUGAGCAUGUUUGGAUUAGUGUUCAAAAUGGAUGGAAACCUCCCUCUACUAUCGUAUCAGGAAACAUUCACCUUACUGACAUAUCUGUGUGGACUAAAGAUGAAUUAGCUGCUUGUAAUUGGAAUAGUAAGGAAAUUCAUGCAUUAUUCAUGGCUCUAUCUCCAGAAGAGUUUAGGAGAGUCUCUAUGUGCGAAACUGCUAAAGAGGUUUGGGACAUUCUCGAAACUACACAUGAGGGAAAUAAGAUAGUAAAGAACUCAAAAUUGCAAAUGCUAGCCUCUAGGUUUGAAGAAGUAAGGAUGAAAGAUGAUGAAACCUUUGAUGAGUUUUAUGCUAAACUAAAUGAUAUAGUUAACUCUAGUUUCAACCUAGGUCAGAGAAUUCCCGAGACUAAAAUUGUGAGAAAAGUACUUAGAUCCCUACCUGAGAGAUUUAGACCUAAAGUCACUGCCAUUGAGGAAAGUAAGGACCUAGAUGAAGUUGAGAUCGAAGAAUUGAUAGGAUCAUUGCAAACCUAUGAACUCACUCUCUCACAACAUAAGAAAGGAAAGUCUAUAGCCCUAAAAUCCAUUAAAGAAGAUGAAUCGUCUGAUACGGAGUCACUUAGGGAUGAGGAAAUUGCAUACUUUGUUAAGAAGUUUCAAAAAGUCCUCAAUAAUAGGAGAAAGCCUCAGGAUAGAAAGAGUGGAGCCCCUAGCAGAUUCACAAAAGAUAAAAUUGAAUAGGAAGAAGUAUAUGUGGAACAACAUAAGGGAUUUGUUGAUCCAAAAUUUCCCCACUAUGUCUACAAGCUUCACAAAGCUCUUCAUGGUCUGAAGCAAGCUCCUAGAGCUGGUAUGAGAGACUCACAUCAUAUCUUGAAGAACAUGGAUUCUCUCGAGGUGGUGCUGAUAGGACUUUAUUCAUUAGACAUAUAGAAGAAAAUUUUACCAUAGCUCAGAUCUAUGUCGAUGAUAUCAUCUUUGGUUCUCCUCUUGAGUCUUUAGCGGUUGAGUUUGCUGAGUGUCUGCAGAGAGAGUUCGAGAUGAGUAUGGCUGGGGAGUUGAGUAAUUUCCUAGGACUUCAGGUACGACAGACAGAGGAUGGACUGUUUAUCUCACAGUCUAAGUAUGCUAGGGAUCUGGUUAAGCGAUUUGGGUUAGAUAGUAAGAAGCAUACUAGGACACUGAUGAGUACUAGCUUAAAGUUAGGUCGUGAUCCUUCUGGCAAGAGUGUAGAUCCUUCUCUUUAUCGUAGCAUGAUAGGUAGUCUUCUCUAUCUCACGGUUACUAGACCAGACAUUGCCUUUAGUAUAGGAGUGUGUGCUCAUUUUCAGGCAGAUCCAAAAGAGUAGUAGUAAGCUUCAGGAGUCACUUAAGAGUGGUAGUGAGUUAAAAUGUGUCAAUAAGAAAUUGUAAGACAACGUUAAGAGUUUGACUAGUGAAUUGGAGAAAUCUAAUGCUCAUCUUCAGACAUUCAUAAGUGGAACUAAGAAAUUAGAUAACCAGUUGGGAAUGAAUAAGCCAGUAGGAGACAAGAGAGGUCUAGGAUAUGUUGAGGGUAAUACAACUAUCGCUGGACCAUCUAAGACGUAGCUGUAGGGAGUUGCUGUACUCAGCUUCUCUGGAUGAAACAAAUGCUUAGUGACUAUGGGAUUAGUCAAGGGACUAUGACUAUCUUCUGUGUUCCUAGGGAACAGAGUCAACAAUCACGUAGGAACAUCAGGACUAGGUACCCACAGACACGUACCUUUGAGCCUAGGUUCAUUCCCACCUGCCACCACUAUGGUGCUCUAGGACACACUAGGCCUAGAUGUUACAAGUUAGGAAAUGAGCGUAGAAGUCAAAACAUUCCUAGUCAGGUUAGCUUUCUGUCUAAUCAGGUGAGUCACUUGACUGAGAUGCUUACUAGGUUACUUACAAAACCACUAGAUGGGUUGAGGUUUGAGUCACUCCAGUCGGCUGUAGGUGUUAGUUCACCUAUUUGAUCAUGUGUUCAUACACGUUCAUACUUUCAUCACAUUGCAUGUGUGUGUGUGUGUGUGAUGCAUUUUGUGUGUUUGUUUCGUCUUAGUUUGCUGAUUUUGCUUGUGUGUUUAAAAAAAAAUGGGGAUUUUGCUUGUGUGUGCCUUAUAUGCUCGAUUCUGGCAAUUGCAUUUAGAAUUUUACUCUUUUAUUCAUCAUAUGUACGAGUCUGAGGUUCCAUCUUUGCUCACAUUGUCUAUGGAGUUUUGGGUAUAUGGCUCGUCUUUCACCUUUGCACAGCACACACUGUAGUCCUGUUAGUGAGUCUUGACCGCAUGGGUCAGACUUGGGAUGGUGGUUCACUAUGAUUGGGGUUGUGUGUCCAUUUGACUUGAUCUGGGACAAGUGUCACCUAAUCAUAAUGUCUUUCCCCACGUUUAUUGUAUUGUGUCGAACUUUUACUAUCUUCGGGGCCUAUUUGACUCGAACUAUUAAGCCCGAUGGGUUUUUAACCUGGUGCCCUAAGGUCAUUUGACUUGGGAGUCACCGACCCAACGUUCGUUAUGGGGGUCAUUUCUGUCGCCUAAUGAGGAUAGCAUUGCACUUAAGUUCGCUUGUUUAAAACAAAAAAAACAAAAAAAAAACAUGAGAUCAUUAAGUUAGGGGGAGUAAAAAUGUGACAUUUGUAUCAUUUGAUAUAGGUCCUCGUGUUGAGAGUCUAGGUGGUAAGCGAUACAUCCUUGUCGUUGUAGACGACUUCUCGAGGUUUACUUGGACAGAAUUGCUUAGGGAAAAAUCUGAUGCUUGUGACCUCAUAAAGUCUCUGUGUAAACGGCUUAGCAAUGAACUGAAUAUCAAAGUAAAAAUGUGACAUUUGUAUCAUUUGAUAUAGGUCCUCGUGGUAUUGGAUUUGAUUGUCACUUGGUCGACAUACACCUUUGUUUGGUUAGCUUCACGUGUCCCUUCUCACUAAUUUAAAGUUUUGAGUCUAGCUUGCAUGGACUACGUGGCACUUUUCACGGUGUUGGUCUGUAUACACUUUACUCCACGGGUAUUUGAUCUCUGUGUGGACUUAUGUUCUGUCUAUAUGCUGGGUAUCGGGUUUGUGACUUUAUGUUUUUAUUUGGGCUCGAUUGCAUAUUCGGUUCCACAUGUUAAAGUUUUGAAAUUCGGGGCUAUUUUCGUAAAUUUCCUACUGUUAUGCCAUUUUUCGAAGAAUUCAAAAUCUUAGUGCUAUUUUUGAAAAUUGCCCUUUCGCUUGAGUCUCGUUUAUACCUCGCUCGAGCGUCAUUAACAGAACACUAUCGCUCGAGGCUCGCUGACUGUCUCGCUCGAGCGACAGUGCGGGUUUUUCAAUUCCUGGUUCAUUUCACGCGUUUAAGUUUUCAAAUUUAGCCUCCGUUUUCAUCCGUUUCUUCUUUUGAGCUGACAUUUCUUCCCCAAAUCUUCUAAAUUGAUUGUUUCGAAGCUACAACACCCAAUUUCAACAUCAAAAUUCCAUUUUGAACGUCAAUUGAGGUAGGUUUUUCCAUUUGUUUUCAUUUUUUUCAUUUUUUUUUUAUUUUUCCUCAUCUCUUUCCAUUUUGUUUGAUUCAUUGCUUCUAUUACAUGAGUUCGUAGCCUCUAGCAUGUUUAGCAUCGUUGGAUUGAAGUUUCUUGCACGUUGAAUUCAUGUAUUACAUAGCAUUGUGUGAUUUUUGCUUGAUUUGUGCUUGUGUUUUACUUAUGUUUUGUGUGAUUUUCAUCCAUGUUCAUCGCUUUGGUUCUUCCAUUCCGUAACUCCGUUUUGCGUGUGGUUUGUUUCUUUGUGAAGAGCAUGUUGCCUAGUUUGUGAGUUUGUGUUUGGUUGCAUGGUUACGUCUCUUGUGUGCUUGGAAAUUCGUGCCAAAGUGUCGCACGCCACAUGUUCGAUGAAUUGACUUAACUAUUUCUGUCCUUCUUUGGCAUGGUUGGUUCUUUUUCUUUUUGCAUUUUUUUCUCCAUUGGAAUUGUGUGCAUAUUCUUAGUCGAGUGUCAGGGUCGUGAUAACUUUGGUCUUAGGGUCGAUCGCAUUUUUUGAUGUCUCAUUUUUGUGUCUCAUUUGUGUGCAUGGUGUGCCAUGUCACAUUGCAUCAUUUCACGUGCAUUUUUCAUGUAUCUCAUUUCUUGCUUCUUUACGUGUGCCAGAUGGCCUGUAAGCGAUCACAUCCCUCUUUCCAGCCAGCUAGUGGUUCUACGUCGUACAGUCGAUCGCGAUUCAUUUCUGCCACUGCUCAGGAGGUUUUCACUUCCCAGUUCUCCUUACGCCCCGUUCUCAUGGAGCGUGAGGUAAUUUUGUCUGACCUUCCCGUAGAGAUAGCUGCCAUCUUAGUGUCUCGGGGUUGGGAGCCUUUGCUUGUUGGUCUAUCACCUCCACCCCCUCUUCUAGUUCAGGAGUUCUAUGCGAACAUCCACGAUAUUGACGGGUCGUCUUUUAGGGUUUUUCUGCAGGGUCAUACGUUUAGAGUUACACCUUCUGCUGUAGCUCGUGCUUUAGGUAUUCCUGAGAUUACCCAUCCUACGUACCCCUAUAUUUUACCUUCUUCUGUUCCGGCCGACUCCCUUGUUCGGUCGACGAUUUUGAACACCCCGUCUGUCGGGGGGCCUACGGCGAUGGCCACGGGUUCUUUACCCACUGAUCGCUAGGUUUUGUUACGCAUUGUGUGCACGAACCUAUGGCCCAUAGCCCAUACUUCUUCUUUACCCAUGGGGCGGGCCCGCUUUCUUUAUGCCCUACUUCGCGGGGACUCGAUUGACCUUCCUAGUUUUGUUUGCCAGCAGAUUCUGGCUUCGUUUCGUACUCCAGGGGGUCGGAUCGGGUUACCAUAUGCUUGUUUGAUCCAUAGGGUAGCUUUAUCUUUAGGUGCUUCAUUUCCAGAGAGUUCGACUCGACGCAUUGGACGUCCGAUUGGACAACAGACUAUACAUCAGAGUCGUUCUCAUAUUCCUGCUUCUUCUUCUUCUUCUCAUGCUCCAGCUGCGGCUGCGGUUUUUGAUGUUGUUGAUUCAUCCGAGCCCCUUGAUCCUAUUUUUGAUAUUCUUACUGGGGGUUCUCGGGUCUUUCUUCCUUCUCGUUCCGCUCCUCCUCUAGCUAUUCCGCUCAGCUCCUCCGGUCCUUCUAUUUCUACAUCAGUGCCUGGGGUGGCUACAUUGCCCGUUGACCCCUUGGUGCCGCUUAUGGGUCCGAUGACUACACUGAUCGAGCAGCAGACUCGUAUCUUAGCUGAGAUCACGCAGAUACGUGCUGCUUCGGAGCGUCAGUCCGCCAAGAUGACUACGUUUCGCCGUGCUCUUGCUGUCUGUCAGCGUCAGUUGCGCUGGAUUCGAGAUCAUUUGGAAGUGAGCACGAGUGCUGAGAGUGGCUCUGAUUCGUCCGAUGCUGCAGAUACUGCUUCUUAGCUUGUUUUGUUGGUUUCUGUAUCUUUGGCCCUUUGUGACAAAAAGGGGGAGUAGAUAGAUUAAUUUGACUGGAGUAGAUUGCGUAGAUAUUAGAGCAGAGAAUUGUUUUUGAUAACUGUGAUAUAAAAUUGAUGUAUAUAUGUCAUUUUAUAACUAGAUUAAGUUUUUGAUGUUUUAGCAAUCUUAAUGUCUGUUUUUGGUGUUUUAGACAUACAUUAUUAUUACUUCUUAAUCUGGUUAAUGAUAUAUGAUUUAUAUCUUGUCUCUGUUUACUGUUUCCAUUUCACAUACGUUUUCACGUGGUAUUUGAGUUUUGUUUUUCAGAAAACAGGUUCAACAAGAUAUUGCCAAUGUAAUAGAAUAGAUUGGUAGUUUGGUGUCAAUUUGUUUUUAUCCUUGACUGUCAAAUGUGUUUUUGUCACAGAAUGUCAAAGGGGGAGUUUGUUAGGAAUAUAUGUAAUUGGCAAAUCUGUGACCAAGGACCAAAAUGUCAAAAUUGUAAAGUCAAAGAUCAAAUUGUCAAAAUUGUAAGGUCAAGGACCAAAUUGUCAACGUCCAAUAGUUCAGGGACUAGAGUUGCAAUUAACCAAAGUUUGUAGGCUUGGUCUAGGGUUGUGUGGGAUGCCUCGAAGACGCAAACGGCGCGAUGAUUUCGCUAGAGUCACGCCAUGACCUCGCUCGAGCCACAAUUGCAGAAACAACUUCGCUGGACAGACGCUGGACUGUCGCUCAAGCGGAAGACACGUCGCUCGAGGCUCGCUAAGACCUCACUCGAGCGACCAUGUUAUCUAGCCAAACGUAAUUUUAAACGCUCGCGAAUAUUUGACGCUCCACAUUACCAUGUGUCGACCUCUAUAAAUACCAAACGUCCAAUUCGUGUUCAUUAACCCGAAUAUACACAUUGAAAUCACUUUGAUUAUUUUCUUUCAAAUCCUUGGCAACCUAAAAUCAAAAUCCUUCUUCUCCAAGGAUCACAAGCCAAAAACCUUUCAUAGUGUUCAUCCAAAUCCAUGGCUUGUUGAGUAAAAACAUCGAAUACACAAACACCAAAACACCUGUUUCUCAACUCCAAUUAAACUUCCAGAAGA